GACAGAGGAUGCAAGCGUUAUCCGGAAUGAUUGGGCGUAAAGCGUCUGUAGGUGGUUUGACAAGUCUUUUGUCAAAGAUCAGGGCUUAACCCUGGGCCGGCAAGAGAAACUAUCAGACUAGAGUUCGGUAGGGGAGACUGGAAUUCCUGGUGUAGCGGUGAAAUGCGCAGAUAUCAGGAGGAACACCGGUGGCGAAGGCGGGUCUCUGGGCCGAUACUGACGCUGAGGAGCGAAAGCGUGGGGAGCGAACAGG
rnacentral:rRNA from 1 species